rnacentral:rRNA from 1 species
AAAUUGAAGAGUUUGAUCAUGGCUCAGAUUGAACGCUGGCGGCAGGCCUAACACAUGCAAGUCGAACGGUAACAGGAAGCAGCUUGCUGCUUUGCUGACGAGUGGCGGACGGGUGAGUAAUGUCUGGGAAACUGCCUGAUGGAGGGGGAUAACUACUGGAAACGGUGGCUAAUACCGCAUAACGUCGCAAGACCAAAGAGGGGGACCUUCGGGCCUCUUGCCAUCAGAUGUGCCCAGAUGGGAUUAGCUUGUUGGUGAGGUAACGGCUCACCAAGGCGACGAUCCCUAGCUGGUCUGAGAGGAUGACCAGCCACACUGGAACUGAGACACGGUCCAGACUCCUACGGGAGGCAGCAGUGGGGAAUAUUGCACAAUGGGCGCAAGCCUGAUGCAGCCAUGCCGCGUGUAUGAAGAAGGCCUUCGGGUUGUAAAGUACUUUCAGCGGGGAGGAAGGUGUUGUGGUUAAUAACCGCAGCAAUUGACGUUACCCGCAGAAGAAGCACCGGCUAACUCCGUGCCAGCAGCCGCGGUAAUACGGAGGGUGCAAGUGUUAAUCGGAAUUACUGGGCGUAAAGCGCACGCAGGCGGUCUGUCAAGUCGGAUGUGAAAUCCCCGGGCUCAACCUGGGAACUGCAUUCGAAACUGGCAGGCUUGAGUCUUGUAGAGGGGGGUAGAAUUCCAGGUGUAGCGGUGAAAUGCGUAGAGAUCUGGAGGAAUACCGGUGGCGAAGGCGGCCCCCUGGACAAAGACUGACGCUCAGGUGCGAAAGCGUGGGGAGCAAACAGGAUUAGAUACCCUGGUAGUCCACGCCGUAAACGAUGUCUACUUGGAGGUUGUGCCCUUGAGGCGUGGCUUCCGGAGCUAACGCGUUAAGUAGACCGCCUGGGGAGUACGGCCGCAAGGUUAAAACUCAAAUGAAUUGACGGGGGCCCGCACAAGCGGUGGAGCAUGUGGUUUAAUUCGAUGCAACGCGAAGAACCUUACCUGGUCUUGACAUCCACAGAACUUUCCAGAGAUGGAUUGGUGCCUUCGGGAACUGUGAGACAGGUGCUGCAUGGCUGUCGUCAGCUCGUGUUGUGAAAUGUUGGGUUAAGUCCCGCAACGAGCGCAACCCUUAUCCUUUGUUGCCAGCGGUCCGGCCGGGAACUCAAAGGAGACUGCCAGUGAUAAACUGGAGGAAGGUGGGGAUGACGUCAAGUCAUCAUGGCCCUUACGACCAGGGCUACACACGUGCUACAAUGGCGCAUACAAAGAGAAGCGACCUCGCGAGAGCAAGCGGACCUCAUAAAGUGCGUCGUAGUCCGGAUUGGAGUCUGCAACUCGACUCCAUGAAGUCGGAAUCGCUAGUAAUCGUGGAUCAGAAUGCCACGGUGAAUACGUUCCCGGGCCUUGUACACACCGCCCGUCACACCAUGGGAGUGGGUUGCAAAAGAAGUAGGUAGCUUAACCUUCGGGAGGGCGCUUACCACUUUGUGAUUCAUGACUGGGGUGAAGUCGUAACAAGGUAACCGUAGGGGAACCUGCGGUUGGAUCACCUCCUUA